rnacentral:lncRNA from 1 species
UGAAGUGUUCUAAUGUAGAAACUGUGGCCUUGAAAUGACUCAUCUGCCCUUGUCUUUCUUUCAAGGGUGAAAUUCACAGAGUGAAGUUGGAUGGCACCAGCAGGGAAGUAUUUGCUCCGACAACUCUUCUGGGAUCUCCUAUGGGCUUGACCUUAGAUUGGAUAUCAAGAAACCUUUAUUAUACCAAUCCUGGAAGUCAUUCAAUUGAGGUUUUGACACUCCAGGAAAGAUACAGAAAAACACUGAUUACCAGCAAGGGGACAACUCAUGGAGUUGGUUUGCCAUUUGGCAUAACUAUUGACCCUGCUCUUGGGUGAGUUUCAUAAAUGGUGUAAUUCUUGGGUACAGUACUGUUUUUGUGGUCUAAUAUAAUGGAAACUUUCAAACUUAGGGGUUAGGUAAGAUUUGAAAUAGACCUCGGAGGAUGAGGAUUCCAGUAGAUAGAAAAUGGGAUAGGUGAUUACCAAUAGUGAAUUGUUUUGAGCAAGGGAGUAAUAGAACCAAGA